rnacentral:rRNA from 1 species
AGAGUUUGAUCCUGGCUCAGGAUGAACGCUAGCUACAGGCUUAACACAUGCAAGUCGAGGGGAAACGGUAUUGGAAGCUUGCUUCCGAUAGGCGUCGACCGGCGCACGGGUGAGUAACGCGUAUCCAACCUGCCCACCACUUGGGGAUAACCUUGCGAAAGUAAGACUAAUACCCAAUGAUAUCUCUAGAAGACAUCUGAAAGAGAUUAAAGAUUUAUCGGUGAUGGAUGGGGAUGCGUCUGAUUAGCUUGUUGGCGGGGUAACGGCCCACCAAGGCAACGAUCAGUAGGGGUUCUGAGAGGAAGGUCCCCCACAUUGGAACUGAGACACGGUCCAAACUCCUACGGGAGGCAGCAGUGAGGAAUAUUGGUCAAUGGACGAGAGUCUGAACCAGCCAAGUAGCGUGCAGGAAGACGGCCCUAUGGGUUGUAAACUGCUUUUAUAAGGGAAUAAAGUGAGAGUCGUGACUCUUUUUGCAUGUACCUUAUGAAUAAGGACCGGCUAAUUCCGUGCCAGCAGCCGCGGUAAUACGGAAGGUCCGGGCGUUAUCCGGAUUUAUUGGGUUUAAAGGGAGCGUAGGCCGGAGAUUAAGCGUGUUGUGAAAUGUAGACGCUCAACGUCUGCACUGCAGCGCGAACUGGUUUCCUUGAGUACGCACAAAGUGGGCGGAAUUCGUGGUGUAGCGGUGAAAUGCUUAGAUAUCACGAAGAACUCCGAUUGCGAAGGCAGCUCACUGGAGCGCAACUGACGCUGAAGCUCGAAAGUGCGGGUAUCGAACAGGAUUAGAUACCCUGGUAGUCCGCACGGUAAACGAUGGAUGCCCGCUGUUGGUCUGAAUAGGUCAGCGGCCAAGCGAAAGCAUUAAGCAUCCCACCUGGGGAGUACGCCGGCAACGGUGAAACUCAAAGGAAUUGACGGGGGCCCGCACAAGCGGAGGAACAUGUGGUUUAAUUCGAUGAUACGCGAGGAACCUUACCAGCCCUUGACAUCCCGGUCGCGGUUUCCAGAGAUGGAUUCCUUCAGUUCGGCUGGACCGGUGACAGGUGCUGCAUGGCUGUCGUCAGCUCGUGUCGUGAGAUGUUGGGUUAAGUCCCGCAGCGAGCGCAACCCCCGUCCUUAGUUGCUACCAUUUAGUUGAGCACUCUAAGGAGACUGCCGGUGAUAAGCCGCGAGGAAGGUGGGGAUGACGUCAAGUCCUCAUGGCCCUUACGGGCUGGGCUACACACGUGCUACAAUGGCGGUGACAAUGGGACGCAAAGGCGCAAGCCCUAGCAAAUCUCAAAAAGCCGUCUCAGUUCGGAUUGGGCUCUGCAACUCGAGCCCAUGAAGUUGGAAUCGCUAGUAAUCGUGGAUCAGCAUGCCACGGUGAAUACGUUCCCGGGCCUUGUACACACCGCCCGUCACACCAUGGGAGUUGGUUUUACCUGAAGACGGUGCGCUAACCCGCAAGGGAGGCAGCCGGCCACGGUAGGGUCAGCGA